rnacentral:rRNA from 1 species
UACGGGGGGAGCAAGCGUUGUUCGGAUUUACUGGGCGUAAAGGGCGCGUAGGCGGCCACCGCAAGUCGGUUGUGAAAUCUCUGGGCUUAACCCAGAAAGGUCAACCGAUACUGCGGGGCUAGAGUGCAGAAGGGGCAACUGGAAUUCUCGGUGUAGCGGUGAAAUGCGUAGAUAUCGAGAGGAACACCUGCGGCGAAGGCAGCUCGCUGGGACGGUACUGACGCUGAGGCGCGAAAGCGUGGGGAGCAAACAGG